rnacentral:rRNA from 1 species
GAUGAACGCUGGCGGCGUGCCUAAUACAUGCAAGUCGAGCGAACGGACGAGAAGCUUGCUUCUCUGAUGUUAGCGGCGGACGGGUGAGUAACACGUGGAUAACCUACCUAUAAGACUGGGAUAACUUCGGGAAACCGGAGCUAAUACCGGAUAAUAUUUUGAACCACAUGGUUCAAAAGUGAAAGACGGUCUUGCUGUCACUUAUAGAUGGAUCCGCGCUGCAUUAGCUAGUUGGUAAGGUAACGGCUUACCAAGGCAACGAUGCAUAGCCGACCUGAGAGGGUGAUCGGCCACACUGGAACUGAGACACGGUCCAGACUCCUACGGGAGGCAGCAGUAGGGAAUCUUCCGCAAUGGGCGAAAGCCUGACGGAGCAACGCCGCGUGAGUGAUGAAGGUCUUCGGAUCGUAAAACUCUGUUAUUAGGGAAGAACAUAUGUGUAAGUAACUGUGCACAUCUUGACGGCACCUAAUCAGAAAGCCACGGCUAACUACGUG